rnacentral:misc_RNA from 1 species
GUAGGUGAACCUGCGGAAGGAUCAUUACUGAACUGUCGACACGAGUUGUUGCUGGUCCUCGAAAGGGGGGCAUGUGCACGCUCUGUUUACACAUCCACUCACACCUGUGCACCCUCUGUAGUUCUGUGGCACUGGGGACUCUGUCCUCUUGCUGUGGUCCUACGUCUUUACACACACACCGUAAUACAGUCUCAUGGAAUGUAUGUCGCGUUUAACGCAAUACAAUACAACUUUCAGCAACGGAUCUCUUGGCUCUC